UCCUGUUGCUGAAAUCAAUGAAUCAUAGAGUUGGUUGGAAGGAGCACUUGGAGGAACACACGACCUCAAAUCUAGCACCAGCAACACAUGAAGCCAGCUUUGUACAGGGCUCAGAAGCAAAACCUGAAGCAGAAACCAAGUCUUCUGAUUUUCAGGGUACUGGGACUAAGCUGGUAUUGCAUGGCAGGUCAUGCAGGCCCAUAACAAUCACUUACUAGAUGAUUUCUAAUCAGUAAUUUCAUGAUAAAAGCUUGAGAGUCAUAUGAAAAGAGUAAGGUAUCUACUUUGCUGAUACCAAAACACUCCAUGAUGCACUGAUGGCUCACAAGUGUAAGCCAAGAAAAAUGGAGUAUCUUCAGAGUCUGACAUCCAAACUGCAUGUAUAAUAUAAUCAGUGGAUGAUGGGAUUCAUAUCUAAAAGGGCUUUAAUCUGUACAGUCUCACUCUUUUGAAAUGGGUCCAUGUCUGGAACCUGUUUCUGCUUUUAGGAAAGUCUUCCAUGCAUUAACCUUUGCAUUAUGAGCACAGACCUCCUAGUUAAUAAAUGGAGCCAUGUGCUGUGGCAAAGGUAGCAUCAAGAGCCCUGA